rnacentral:rRNA from 1 species
UACGUAGGGUGCGAGCGUUGUCCGGAAUUAUUGGGCGUAAAGGGCUCGUAGGCGGUUUGUCGCGUCGGGAGUGAAAACGCCGUGCUUAACACGGCGCUUGCUUCCGAUACGGGCAGACUAGAGGUAUGCAGGGGAGAACGGAAUUCCUGGUGUAGCGGUGAAAUGCGCAGAUAUCAGGAGGAACACCGGUGGCGAAGGCGGUUCUCUGGGCAUUACCUGACGCUGAGGAGCGAAAGUGUGGGGAGCGAACAGG